rnacentral:lncRNA from 1 species
AGUUAGCGGAGCCUCAUUCUGAAGCAGUCGGUUGCCCUAACGGAGAACACACCGUCUAGAAGGGGUCAGUUAGGAAGAUCUCGAAAGGCCAAAUAUCAGAGGCAGCUGCCGCGAGGGCUUUGGCUAAUCGGCCAAUCUAUUCUCCUUCAACACCUCUGGCGUAGAGAAUUAACAUAGCAAAUGUCAGAAACAGAUGUCACCUGGUGGAAGGAGUGGCCUAUUUUCUAGCAUAAUGAAUGGGCUUUCUUGGUCAAAUUAAGGUUAUUCAAGACAUAUCAAUUGGCUGAAAUCAUUUAAAAUAGGAUGUAAGAAUUAACGCCAGUCUCUGGCCUCCACUCAGAGAUGGAGGCUGGGGCUUGCUCUCUUCACAGUCUUGUAUCCGGCCAUUCUCUUAGGAGGAUUUCCGGCUGACUGAUGGCAGUGAUAAGAACGCUGCUUCUGGAAUGUUGCAGCCACCUGAAAUGGACUGCCCGUGCACUGUGUGGUUUUGGUUGGGGCAAUUAAAAGAAUAUUGACCUGGAACUUUAUCAAGCCUUCAGAACAGAUGGAGGAAGGGGUCGUGAGCCAAGGAAUGCAAGCAGCCUCUAGAAGCUGGAAACGGCAUGGAAAUGGAUUCUCCCCUAGAGCCUCCAGAAAGAAUGCAGACUCACUGUGAUUUCAGACCUGCGAGACCCAUUUCAGAGUUUUGACCUCAAGAAGCGUAAGAUAAUACAUUUAUGUUAUUCUAAGGCACUAAGUUCAGGGUAAUUUGUUGCAGCAGCAAUAGAAAACUAAUACACAAGAUGAAAAGAAAUAAGGAAAUAUGACCACCAACUCCCAACAAGCAAGUCCCCAUUUUGUGCACUGUCAUGUGCACUGCGGCGCUGACCACCAUGGCUGCAUCACCCAGGCCCCCUUGCCCUCUGGGAUAUCAGACGGGCUGCCCAGAGGGCAAAAAAGUGAUGCUGAAUGUGCUGACUGCUCUAUUGAAGAAAAAUGAAGACUAUGGUUUUUCUGCUCUGAUUAGAGUGAAAGGCAUCGUCCUCGACUAGAAGUUUUGUAGUCUACCGCACAUGAAAAAACCUUUUUGCGACUUCUUUAAAAUUGCUUUUAAAUGGGUGCUGAGUCUAAAAACUGGCUCAUGUCCAGAAGCUGGGCAGAGGAUCGUGACUUUUCUGGGUGGCUUCCCUCAGCCUCCUGAGCUGCCAUCCUCGAUUUCUUUUGAUGGUGUGCAUUCAGUGAUGUCUUUUUGGCUGCCCUUUGAUUUAGCCCUUAGGGACACCCUGUUCUAUUAACCAUCUCCCAAACACUCUGUGGGUCAGGCUUCUGUAGCUGCCCAUCCGCCCUUGCCACUCAUUACAAUAUUUGAGCCCGCAAAAAUAUAUACCACCAGCCUGCCUCUGUCAUUUUGAGAUCUACCACAGCAGAUCCAUUUU